rnacentral:rRNA from 1 species
UAGGGAAUCUUCCGCAAUGGGCGAAAGCUUGACGGAGCAACGCCGCGUGAGUGAUGAAGGUCUUCGGAUCGUAAAACUCUGUUAUUAGGGAAGAACAAAUGUGUAAGUAACUAUGCACGUCUUGACGGUACCUAAUCAGAAAGCCACGGCUAACUACGUGCCAGCAGCCGCGGUAAUACGUAGGUGGCAAGCGUUAUCCGGAAUUAUUGGGCGUAAAGCGCGCGUAGGCAGUUUUUUAAGUCUGAUGUGAAAGCCCACGGCUCAACCGUGGAGGGUCAUUGGAAACUGGAAAACUUGAGUGCAGAAGAGGAAAGUGGAAUUCCAUGUGUAGCGGUGAAAUGCGCAGAGAUAUGGAGGAACACCAGUGGCGAAGGCGACUUUCUGGUCUGUAACUGACGCUGAUGUGCGAAAGCGUGGGGAUCAAACAGG